GUCUUAUCGUGGAAGAAAUGGGAGAAAUGGGGAUGAUAAUGAUCGCUUCGAGGGGAUCGGCCUCCUUGAUCGCUUCGAGGGGAUCGACCCUCCUUGAUCGCUUCGAGGGGAUCGGCCCUCCUUGAUCACUUCGAGGGGAUCGGCCUCCUAGGGUUUGUCCAAAGACAGAAUAGUAUUUUUCAUAGAUUACUGAAAAGAA
rnacentral:lncRNA from 1 species